rnacentral:rRNA from 2 species
UAAGUCGACCGCCUGGGGAGUACGGCCGCAAGGUUAAAACUCAAAUGAAUUGACGGGGGCCCGCACAAGCGGUGGAGCAUGUGGUUUAAUUCGAUGCAACGCGAAGAACCUUACCUGGUCUUGACAUCCACGGAAGUUUUCAGAGAUGAGAAUGUGCCUUCGGGAACCGUGAGACAGGUGCUGCAUGGCUGUCGUCAGCUCGUGUUGUGAAAUGUUGGGUUAAGUCCCGCAACGAGCGCAACCCUUAUCCUUUGUUGCCAGCGGUCCGGCCGGGAACUCAAAGGAGACUGCCAGUGAUAAACUGGAGGAAGGUGGGGAUGACGUCAAGUCAUCAUGGCCCUUACGACCAGGGCUACACACGUGCUACAAUGGCGCAUACAAAGAGAAGCGACCUCGCGAGAGCAAGCGGACCUCAUAAAGUGCGUCGUAGUCCGGAUUGGAGUCUGCAACUCGACUCCAUGAAGUCGGAAUCGCUAGUAAUCGUGGAUCAGAAUGCCACGGUGAAUACGUUCCCGGGCCUUGUACACACCGCCCGUCACACCAUGGGAGUGGGUUGCAAAAGAAGUAGGUAGCUUAACCUUCGGGAGGGCGCUUACCACUUUGUGAUUCAUGACUGGGGUGAAGUCGUAACAAGGUAACC